GUGCUUGCUUCGGCAGCAUAUAUACUAAAAUUGGAAUGAUACAGAGAAGAUUAGCAUGGCCCCUGCACAAGGAUGACACGCAAAUUUGAGAAGUGUUCCAUAUUUAA
rnacentral:snRNA from 1 species